GAUGAACGCUGGCGGCGGGCCUAAAACAUGCAAGUCGAGCGAAAAAACGGGGAGCUUGCGCCAGUGACGGUGACGGCGGUCGGGAGAGUCACGCGUGGAUAGCCAUCAGAUAAGACCGGGAUAAGUUCGGGGAGCCGCCGCUAAUAACGGAAAAUAUCUUACACCGCGUGGUUCAAGAGGGAAAGUCGGUUUUGCUGGCACUUAUAGAUGGGUCCUCGGCGCAUUAGCGAGUUGGUAACGUAACGGCUUACCAAGGCAACGAAGCGUAGCCGACCGGAGAGGGUGAUCGGCCACACUGGAACUGAGACACGGUCCAGACUCCUACGGGAGGCAGCAGUGGGGAAUCUUCCGCAAUGGGCGAAAGCCUGACGGAGCAACGCCGCGUGAGUGAUGAAGGUCUUCGGAUCGUAAAACUCUGUUAUUAGGGAAGAACAAAUGUGUAAGUAACUAUGCACGUCUUGACGGUACCUAAUCAGAAAGCCACGGCUAACUACGUG
rnacentral:rRNA from 1 species